GGAGUGAACGCUGGCGGUAGGCCUAACACAUGCAAGUCGAACGGCAGCACAGUGGUAGCAAUACCAUGGGUGGCGAGUGGCGGACGGGUGAGGAAUACAUCGGAAUCUACCUUUUCGUGGGGGAUAACGUAGGGAAACUUACGCUAAUACCGCAUACGCCCUUCGGGGGAAAGCCGGGAUCGCAAGACCUGGCGCGGAUAGAUGAGCCGAUGUCGGAUUAGCUAGUUGGUGAGGUAAUGGCUCACCAAGGCGACGAUCCGUAGCUGGUCUGAGAGGAUGAUCAGCCACACUGGAACUGAGACACGGUCCAGACUCCUACGGGAGCAGCAGU
rnacentral:rRNA from 1 species